AGGGCAAAAUUCAUGGACUAUACAACUGACAACAUGUCUAUCUAUCCAUCUCCAACAGGUGUAAUGAUUGGGCUUGAUCUGGCAUACAACUUGCAUUCUGCCUUUGGUAAUUGGUUCCCUGGUUCAAAACCUCUUCUUGCUCAAGCAAUGAACAAGAUCAU